CCUACGGGAGGCUGCAGUGAGGAAUAUUGGUCAAUGGACGAGAGUCUGAACCAGCCAAGUAGCGUGAAGGAUGACUGCCCUAUGGGUUGUAAACUUCUUUUAUAUGGGAAUAAAACGUUCCACGUGUGGGAUUUUGUAUGUACCAUAUGAAUAAGGAUCGGCUAACUCCGUGCCAGCAGCCGCGGUAAUACGGAGGAUCCGAGCGUUAUCCGGAUUUAUUGGGUUUAAAGGGAGCGUAGGUGGAUUGUUAAGUCAGUUGUGAAAGUUUGCGGCUUAACCGUAAAAUUGCAGUUGAAACUGGCAGUCUUGAGUACAGUAGAGGUGGGCGGAAUUCGUGGUGUAGCGGUGAAAUGCUUAGAGAUCACGAAGAACUCCGAUUGCGAAGGCAGUUCACUGGACUGCAACUGACACUGAGGCUCGAAAGUGUGGGUAUCAAACAGGAUUAGAUACCCGAGUAGUC
rnacentral:rRNA from 1 species